AGUGAACGCUGGCGGUAGGCCUAACACAUGCAAGUCGAACGGCAGCACAGUAAGAGCUUGCUCUUACGGGUGGCGAGUGGCGGACGGGUGAGGCAUACAUCGGAAUCUACUUUUUCGUGGGGGAUAACGUAGGGAAACUUACGCUAAUACCUCAUACGACCUACGGGUGAAAGCAGGGGAUCUUCGUACCUUGCGCGAUUGAAUGAGCCGAUGUCGGAUUAGCUAGUUGGCGGGGUAAAGGCCCACCAAGGCGACGAUCCGUAGCUGGUCUGAGAGGAUGAUCAGCCACACUGGAACUGAGACACGGUCCAGACUCCUACGGGAGGCAGCAGUGGGGAAUAUUGGACAAUGGGCGCAAGCCUGAUCCAGCCAUACCGCGUGGGUGAAGAAGGCCUUCGGGUUGUAAAGCCCUUUUGUUGGGAAAGAAAAGCAGCAGGUUAAUACCCCGCUGUUCUGACGGUACCCAAAGAAUAAGCACCGGCUAACUUCGUG
rnacentral:rRNA from 1 species